UAGUAAUUCAACCUAGUACGAGA
rnacentral:snRNA from 1 species